GUCAAACCACACACACUCCCGGCGCUGAAAUUAAAGGAAAAAAAUGCAGGAAUUUGAGCGAAGAAAUGCGAGAUAUUUGAGGAAUGCUGUCUCCGACAGUGAGUGAGAAGCAUUCAGAGCGAACCGCGGGGAGAAAUGCUGACUUCACAUCCACAAUAAUCAACAAACUGAAAGUUCCCACUCCGACAGAGAAGACGCAGCUUAAAUCUGAACAUGAGACCAACACUAUUAUUAUAAAACGCUUGAGCUUACCUGGUGGGACUCUAUUGGCAGACAGGCAGCCGUUUGUUUGAAGCGAGAGGAAGGCAGGAAUUCCAGGAAUUAGCCGUGGUAUGACAUGAAGCCUGGAAAAAGCCAGAGAAAAAGACCAAGGGAGAGAAGGAGGUAAUCAAAUCUCAGUACCUCUGAGGCCCUGUCUGCGCAGCUCCCUCUCCUGGAUGAAACCGGUGAACAUCUGGGUCUCCAUGAACACCUCCAAGAACCUUCUCAAGCUCUUGGACGUGACCGCUUUGCGAAAGGCUUCGCGCUGAAAGGACGAGGAGGGGGAAGAAGAGGGACUGGGCAAGGUGGGGGAGGAGACAGACUCAUCCUCCCGCUCUGCUCCACCAAUGAAGAGGGAGAAGUGACCCACCAUCUCCACGAAGAAACGCACAAAGGCCUCUGACACCACUGCGCUGAGGGAGCUGGAGUCUGGGUGGAGGCCAGCUCCCUCCUCUUGUCCAGCACAAGCUCGAGAGCUGCCUGCAGCUUGUGGGGAAGAAUGGAGUCCUCAUCAUCCAGCUGUGAAGAUAAAAACACAGAUGAAGCGACUGUUGCCGAGAUCGACCACCAGGACCUAAGGGAAGAACAGAGGGAGAGUGAUGUCAUUUCCUGGAGCUAUUUUUCAGUGGAGGAAAGGCCCGGAGUCAAUGUUUACGAUAUCUACCUUGGAGAAGAGGUCGAAACAGCCCAGGCGGCUGACGAUGCAGUAGACCUCAGGGAGCCUCCGGCCUUUACCACUGGGCUGUGAACAGGCAGCCAGUUAAAGACAGCUUCAAAACCCAGGAGUGUCACAAGACUGCUCACCCAAGUACAACCACAGGAUUAGACCACUGAAGCAAAGCAAAGCCUUUGUUUUGCAGAGUCUUUGAAGACUGUGACUUUGAAAAAUCUAAACCAUUUUAUCAACCAAAUUCAAGAAAUAUGUAGAAAACAUUUAUUAUCAACUUGCAUAAUAGUUCAACAAAAAGAGAAGGGUAAAAGCAGCAGAGGAAAUGUUUAUAAUCAGGGAUUAUCUAUAUUGAAUUUAAAUUAGG